rnacentral:lncRNA from 13 species
AUGGAUAAGAAGUACAGCUGGCUGGACGAGGUGGCUCACACCUGUAAUCCCAGCACUUUGGGAGGCCUAGUUGGGCAGAUCACGAGGUCAGCAGUUCGAGACCAGCCUGACCAACAUGGUGAAACCCCGUCUCUACUAAAAAUACAACAAAUACACCUGUUAUCCCUACUCAGGAGGCUGAGGCAGAAUUGUUUGAACCAGGGAGGUGGAGGUUGCAGUGAGCCUGCACUCCAGCCUGGGCAACAGAGCAAGACUCUGUCUCAAAAAAAAAAAAAAAAAAAAAAAAAAUUUUUUUUUUUUUUUUUUGAGACAGAGUCUUGCUCUGUCACCAAGCUCAAGUGCAGUGGCGGGGUCUCAGCUCACUGCAACCUCUGCUGCCCGGGUUUAAGCAAUUCCCCUGCUUCAGCCUCCUCAGUAGCUGGGACUACAGGUACAUGCCACCAUGCCAGGCUAAUUUUUUUGUAUUUUAGUAGAGACAGGAUGAUCUUGAUCUCCUGA